UGGGGAAUAUUGCGCAAUGGGCGCAAGCCUGAUCCAGCCAUGCCGCGUGAGUGAAGAAGGCCUUCGGGUUGUAAAGCUCUUUCAGACGGAAAGAAACGGUCACGGCCAAUACCCGUGACUAAUGACGGUACCGUCAGAAGAAGCACCGGCUAACUACGUGCCAGCAGCCGCGGUAAUACGUAGGGUGCGAGCGUUAAUCGGAAUUACUGGGCGUAAAGCGUGCGCAGGCGGUUUGGUAAGACAGAUGUGAAAUCCCCGGGCUUAGCCUGGGAACUGCAUUUGUGACUGCCAGACUAGAGUGUAGCAGAGGGGGGUAGAAUUCCACGUGUAGCAGUGAAAUGCGUAGAUAUCGGGAGGAACACCUGUGGCGAAGGCGGCCACCUGGUUGGAUACUGACGCUGAGACGCGAAAGCGUGGGGAGCAAACAGGAUUAGAUACCCGUGUAGUCCCUGAGCGGGCUGGCAAGGCGCAU
rnacentral:rRNA from 1 species